GCGAUAGAGACGAGAGAGAGAGAGAGAGGAAUGGGGUUGAUGUGCUGUUUCGAUGGAGGCCAUAGCGCUCAGCAGAAGAAGGAACAAGAGAGGAUGGCGUCGGCCGAGGUUGUUGCCAAAGCGGCUGAAGCUGCCCAACGAAGGCAAGAGGAAUUCGAAAAGUCUGCAGCUGGUAGAGCUGCACGUGCACAGCAACAGGCGAUUGCAAAGCAAGCUGCCAACUCCAACAAAGGCGAACCAGUGUUAAAGUGGUCAAUGGGAUGAGGGAGCCUUCUCUCUCUCCAACAACUAGCGUUUUUGUGAGUCACCAAAUGGCUGUUGUUAUUUGUAUUAUAGAAGAUUCAUCUUUAUUCUGUGGAUUGUCGAUUUCUCUUCUGCCAGCAUAGGACAUCCCAUAUCUCCAUAGCUCAAUCGCCUCAAUGUUCAUUGUAAUUUGCUUGUUUAUUGUAAAUGGAAUGUUGAGGAACACAAUUAGAGUUGCAUACUCUUUUUCAGCAUCUUGCUUUGGCCACGGAAAACUGUGCAACAAUUUGUUGUGUAAUCUUUAGAAAUAUUUGCAGCUACGCUCAUCAUUUUGAA